rnacentral:rRNA from 1 species
CCUACGGGAGGCAGCAGUGGGGAAUAUUGCACAAUGGGGGAAACCCUGAUGCAGCGACGCCGCGUGAGUGAAGAAGUAUUUCGGUACGUAAAGCUCUAUCAGCAGGGAAGAAAAUGACGGUACCUGACUAAGAAGCCCCGGCUAACUACGUGCCAGCAGCCGCGGUAAUACGUAGGGGGCAAGCGUGAUCCGGAUUUACUGGGUGUAAAGGGAGCGUAGACGGCAGCGCAAGUCUGGAGUGAAAUCCCAUGGCUUAACCAUGGAACUGCUUUGGAAACUGUGCAGCGAGAGUGCAGGAGAGGUAAGCGGAAUUCCUAGUGUAGCGGUGAAAUGCGUAGAUAUUAGGAGGAACACCAGUGGCGAAGGCGGCUUACUGGACUGUAACUGACGUUGAGGCUCGAAAGCGUGGGGAGCAAACAGGAUUAGAUACCCGAGUAGUC